rnacentral:rRNA from 1 species
CCUACGGGAGGCAGCAGUGAGGAAUUUUGCGCAAUGGGGGCAACCCUGACGCAGCAACGCCGCGUGAGUGAAGAAGGCCUUUGGGUCGUAAAGCUCUGUCAACAGGGAAGAAGUUACAAUUGUUUAACAGAUGGUUGUAUUGACGGUACCUGUGGAGGAAGCGCCGCC